CCUACGGGAGGCAGCAGUGGGGAAUAUUGCACAAUGGGCGCAAGCCUGAUGCAGCCAUGCCGCGUGUGUGAAGAAGGCCUUCGGGUUGUAAAGCACUUUCAGCGGGGAGGAAGGCGGUGAGGUUAAUAACCUCAUCGAUUGACGUUACCCGCAGAAGAAGCACCGGCUAACUCCGUGCCAGCAGCCGCGGUAAUACGGAGGGUGCAAGCGUUAAUCGGAAUUACUGGGCGUAAAGCGCACGCAGGCGGUCUGUCAAGUCGGAUGUGAAAUCCCCGGGCUCAACCUGGGAACUGCAUUCGGAACUGGCAGGCUAGAGUCUUGUAGAGGGGGGUAGAAUUCCAGGUGUAGCGGUGAAAUGCGUAGAGAUCUGGAGGAAUACCGGUGGCGAAGGCGGCCCCCUGGACAAAGACUGACGCUCAGGUGCGAAAGCGUGGGGAGCAAACAGGAUUAGAUACCCGGGUAGUC
rnacentral:rRNA from 1 species